rnacentral:rRNA from 1 species
CAAAGAUUUAUCGGUCAUAGAUGGGCUCGCGUCUGAUUAGCUAGUUGGUGAGAUAACAGCCCACCAAGGCGACGAUCAGUAGCCGGUCUGAGAGGAUGAACGGCCACAUUGGAACUGAGACACGGUCCAAACUCCUACGGGAGGCAGCAGUGGGGAAUAUUGCACAAUGGGGGAAACCCUGAUGCAGCGACGCCGCGUGAACGAAGAAGGUAUUCGUAUCGUAAAGUUCUGUCCUAUGGGAAGAUAAUGACAGUACCAUAGAAGAAAGCUCCGGCUAAAUACGUGCCAGCAGCCGCGGUAAUACGUAUGGAGCGAGCGUUGUCCGGAAUUAUUGGGCGUAAAGGGUACGCAGGCGGUUUAAUAAGUCGAAUGUUAAAGAUCGGGGCUCAACCCCGUAAAGCAUUGGAAACUGAUAAACUUGAGUAGUGGAGAGGAAAGUGGAAUUCCUAGUGUAGUGGUGAAAUACGUAGAUAUUAGGAGGAAUACCAGUAGCGAAGGCGACUUUCUGGACACAAACUGACGCUGAGGUACGAAAGCGUGGGG